UUUCGACGACCGAAUGAUCAUUCAGACUCUGUUUCUAUUGAGAGAGAGAUAAAAGGCUGGUUGAAUGAGUUGCCUGUGAAAGCUACUUCAUCUGCAAGAAAACAGGCGGCUGCACCAGUGACUGUCAGAAGUUUUGUGAUUUCCUCACAUGAACGUGAAAGGGUCAGUGCUCUAAAAUGAGUCUCUCUGGGGAGAGAGAGGAGGGGGGCCCUGCCUCUAAAAUGCGUCUCUCUGGGGGACAUGACACCAAAGCUAAGAGGUAAGAUGACAAUUUUAUGAAGAAUUUAUUAAGUUUAUUUCCAAAAUAAAUAGCUAUCUUAAGAUGAAUGCAGUUACUGUAAAUCACUCUGGAUAAGAGCAUCUGCUAAAUCAGGGGUUCUCAAUCCGGGGUCUGUGGAGGUACUGCAGGGGCUCCACGGCACCGACUGUACUCGUUGCAAUGUAAGACAUUUGAUAGAAUUUUCACAUGACACGACCACUUUGCCUACUCUUAAAUUAUUGCUAAUAUAAUGAAAUGCAUAUAUUUUUUUAACAAAUUCUUAUACUUUUUCAAGCAGAAUUUUGACAAUAUUAUCGUUAUAUCAACACACUCUUCACACCCGUUUAACAACUCUAAAUUCAAACCAGCCACCUUUCGGCGACAGGUCCAACUCCUUAGCCGCUGGGCGAAAACCUGAGUUAAUCUUCAGAAAUUAAUAGCAUGAGUUAAUCUGCCCAAAUGAAGACAAAAUGCUUUGGAGACAUACAUGGUAUCACUUGUUACACAUAAUUAUUAUACAUAAAUCAUUGUCAAAAGCACAAGACUUACUGUUGCAUGUAGGUCUAUUUAAUUUAUGGAUUGAUCCUACAGAAAUAUGAAAACAUUAUUUUUAACUACUACCAAGCAUUUACAUGUGGCUCAGGAACCACUGACUCACUGCAUUAUUCUAUAGUAUUAUCAAGACACCUGCUGUUAACUCUUAACUACUUAGGACAGCUCACGAUGUGUCCUAAAUAUCUGCCGACUAGGUGGGACUAGAGACUUCAUGCAUAGCUUUAAUUUAUACCCAUAAGUGUAAAAUGUCUUUAUUCUCAGCACUUAUACGACCAAUUUUCUACUCUGAGACGCUUUAUGGAUAUUGUUAUAAUAAAACGUAGAAUGUUUGUUUAACAUAAAGAAAAAUGAAUAUUACUAAUGUAACCCACUGUAAAGACUGGGUUUAGUUGAUUGUGUUGCACUGCUCAUGUCCACGUUCUGGAACUGUCCGCGUCCCCGUACAGAACUGUCCGCGUUCACGUCCGGUGUGGCGCCGAUGCAUUUUGUCCGGUUACGCGCAGAGUGGGCUGAGGUGAUUUUGGGGAAUAACGACAGAGUUUGUUACAGUGUUGACACGCCAAACUUUAUUGUUC